ACUUAACAUAAGUAAAGCUGAAGCUUUUUUUUAUAUUUUUUCUAUUUUUACAUCUACCAUAUUUGUACCUUAAAAAGACUUCCUCACUUACUAUAGUCUAUUGUAAACGUUACCGUCAUGGCAUUCCUCUGUUUGCAUGAAGCAGAACCUUCUGAAGCUCAUCGGCGAGUCCUGAUAAGAGCAAUGGUUUACAGAUGAUACCAUUCAUUCCGAUCUUGAGGCAUUUUCUGAUAUCUUCAUCAGUAAUUGCAGCUAAACCGAUGAUCAAAGGCCAGGUCUGUCUUCUAUGCUUUCGAAGUCUCAUGGUAACUUCAAAGCCAUCUAAAUCAGGCAGAUGAAGAUCCAAAAGUAUAAUUUGUAACGAGGACACAACGGGGCCAACAGCACCGAGGCAUUCAUAUCCAGAUGAAACUAAAGUAACGAUGCAUCCCAAUUUCUCGAGCAUCUUCUUUGUUACAGCUCUAUUCGAAUCAUCAUAGUCAGCUAACAGAACCUCCACACCACGUAAAACAGGAUGUGGAUAUGUGGGAUUAGAAGACUCCACAUAUUCGGACAUGCCUAAGGGAAUUAACGGCUGCCUUUGGAAUCCGACAAUCACAGCCAUGCCUUGAUCAAAAUCUGCUAAAUUUCGGAUUAUAAAGAUGUCUCCUUGCAUCAAAUGAACCAACUUCCUGCAAACAGCAAAGCUUAAACUCUCCUCAAUCUCCUCAGUGUCGUAUGUUGGAGGAGCAGGGGUGAUCUCUGACUGAGAUCGAUUAAAUUUUGUGCAAAUCUCGAACUUGAUAUAGACAAUGUCAUUGGAUGAGUUUGAUCUCGGUGUUUUCCAACUAACAUCGUUUUCACUUGCUGAGAGAACUUUGAAGGUAAGAUGUCCUCCGUGGAUGCCAUUCAAAAGAUUUCCAAUUAUAUGAAGCAAAACUUGAAAAAAUCUUCUUUCGUCUCCCAUGACUUUAUUAGGAAAUGAUUUUUCGACCUCAAUGGUGAUGUUGUAACCCUUAUACAUACACAAAGAUUUGGCGGUACAAGCAGCUUCUCGUAUCAAGGAAUGCAGCUGAAAAUGCUUCAUUUCCAAUGGGAAUUUUACGUUCUCCUUGGUUGAAGUAACUAUCACAUCAUCCAUCAGGGUGGAGACAACAUUGCUGGAUUUGAUUAUAGAAUGCACAAGAAGCUGUUGUUCAUCUCGUAACUUCUGUUCCUGCAACAUCGAGAGCAGACCCAAAAUUGAGUGCAUUGGUCUUCUCAAUCGAUGGCUCAUAACCGUCUGAAAUGAACUCCUAGCUUGACUUGCUCUAAGAGCUUCCUCUCUUGCUUUCUGCAGUGCUUGAUUCUGUUCCAUCAACCUGUCUUUGAUAUACUCGGAUUCUUCAACCACUGCAGCAUGGGACAACGCCACAGCAACUUGAUCGGCUGCAGCCCUGACUAUCUCAACUUCCUGGUUAAGCCAAAACCUACCAUGUCCACAAGGUUGAACCAAAACAAGGAUAGCAUAACAUUGCGAGACAAUCUCACGAGUUUCACCUCUGAAAUUCGAGACCGUCAGCAUUGGAAUCCUAAUAGCAGCCACAGAUUCUGGCUCACAACUCCCUCUACUGCUUGCAGCAGCAAGUCGGGAGUCUGCACCAAGUAUCUUUACAUCAUCACUCCCCUUGAUCUCUUUUACUUCUCGAUCACUGAUCGGGAUAGGCACAUUAUACACACUGGAAACAUUCUCCCUUGUAGUAUCAUGAGUCAGUUUCAUCUCGGUUCUGUUCUCAUUAGGCAUCCAUAUAACACAAUUCUGCAAACUCAAUAACUUCGACAGCCCAACAAGAGUUGUGUAGAGUAUUGUAUGA
rnacentral:misc_RNA from 1 species